AAAAGGCUUGAAGUCCAGUUUUGUGCCCACUCCUGAAGAUUCCCAUCACUUGGGGUCUGAAGUUUCAGGUCAGCAGUUUGGCCUAAACUCUGAAGAAAGAGCAAUCCAGUUACUGUUGGGCAGUGCUGAUUGCUCUCCAGGGCACUUGUGGGAUCAGACAGGCUCCCUGUGGGAUUCUCUGUCCCUGGGCAGUGAGGUGUACGACAGUGAACUCGGUGAUCCCCAUUACGACCAGAGUCUGCUGGAGAGGCUUUUUUACACAGCUCCUAAAUCUGAUUCCAGUUUGAGUGAUUUCCUCAGUGAUGAUGAUAUUAAAUCCUCAAAAAAAGCAUCCAAGACAGAAACCCUCGAAAAAGCAGGUCCAGUGAAUCCACAAAAGGAUUUUCCUGCCUUUGAUCAGAAUGUGACUGAAACAAAACCCAGGUAGUUACAUCAGUGACUUCAGUUCUGACCUCAUCUAAGUUAUA